rnacentral:rRNA from 1 species
AUUGAACGCUGGCGGCAUGCCUUACACAUGCAAGUCGAACGGCAGCGGGGGAGAAGCUUGCUUUUCCUGCCGGCGAGUGGCGAACGGGUGAGUAAUACAUCGGAACGUGCCCUGUAGUGGGGAUAACUAGUCGAAAGAUUAGCUAAUACCGCAUACGACCUGAGGGUGAAAGUGGGGGACCACAAGGCCUCAUGCUAUAGGAGCGGCCGAUGUCUGAUUAGCUAGUUGGUGGGGGAAAGGCCUACCAAGGCGACGAUCAGUAGCUGGUCUGAGAGGACGAUCAGCGACACUGGGACUGAGACACGGCCCAGACUCCUACGGGAGGCAGCAGUGGGGAAUUUUGGACAAUGGGCGAAAGCCUGAUCCAGCAAUGCCGCGUGUGUGAAGAAGGCCUUCGGGUUGUAAAGCACUUUUGUCCGGAAAGAAAUGGCUCUGGUUAAUACCUGGGGUCGAUGACGGUACCGGAAGAAUAAGGACCGGCUAACUACGUGCCAGCCGCCGCGGUAAUAC